CGGCUGGCCACCUUCAGGCCUUCUGAUUCUCUCCCUCUGCCCUCCCAGACGUUCGCCUCUUCGCUCUCAUUCUUCCUCAGCCCAGAGCCCCAACCGGACCGGCCACGACAGCCUGCCUCCUCCUGAUACAGGACAGGUGGCUCUCCAGCCAGCUGGGUCUCUCUCACCUCCUCUCUGGUGUUCGGGGAGCGGCAGCAGACAAGUGGUACCAGUAGGUUUGAGGUGCUAUUUCUGCCAAGCCAAGCCUGGCUUCUGAGGAGUCACUUCUGUUCCUGCUUGGAGACAAGGCCACCUAACAGAGACUCUGGUUCGUGAGGUUCCCUGUCUGAACUAUUGCCAUAAGGGUGUCACGGAAAAGCGAUGUCGUGAAGAAUAAGCACGCUUAUUGAAGUUGUGUUUUAAAUAAAGGUGACCA